UACGUAGGGGGCAAGCGUUGUCCGGAUUUAUUGGGCGUAAAGAGCGUGUAGGCGGCCGCACAGGUCCGUUGUGAAAACUGGAGGCUUAACCUUCAGACGUCGAUGGAAACCGUGCGGCUAGAGUCCGGAAGAGGAGAAUGGAAUUCCUGGUGUAGCGGUGAAAUGCGCAGAUAUCAGGAAGAACACCCGUGGCUAAGGCGGUUCUCUAGUACGGUACUGACGCUGAGGAGCGAAAGCGUGGGGAGCGAACAGG
rnacentral:rRNA from 1 species